rnacentral:rRNA from 1 species
UUUGAAAGAUGGUUUCGGCUAUCGCUUACAGAUGGGCCCGCGGUGCAUUAGCUAGUUGGUAGGGUAAUGGCCUACCAAGGCAACGAUGCAUAGCCGACCUGAGAGGGUGAUCGGCCACACUGGGACUGAGACACGGCCCAGACUCCUACGGGAGGCAGCAGUAGGGAAUCUUCCGCAAUGGACGAAAGUCUGACGGAGCAACGCCGCGUGUAUGAAGAAGGUUUUCGGAUCGUAAAGUACUGUUGUUAGAGAAGAACAAGGAUAAGAGUAACUGCUUGUCCCUUGACGGUAUCUAACCAGAAAGCCACGGCUAACUACGUGCCAGCAGCCGCGGUA